UUUUUUGAUGUCCUGUGUAAAGAAAAUGUGAUCAGGAGAGCCCUCGUCCAGUCCACACUCACAAAGUGAACUGUCUUUCACUCUAAUUUUAGAUAGGAAAACCGGAGUAC